AAAGACAGUUACAAAGUUGCUCAAUCUCUCCCAAUGGUAAUCAAAUAAAGUUACAUAAUAGACUAAAACACUUAGGGUUUACAUGGGAUACGGAGCAUCUACGUUUGCCUCACUUGAUCGGGUAAACAUUGCUGAAAAAAUAUCUAAUUUUAGGGCAGCUUUUCAAACUCUUAUUCAAUCUGGAAUCCGUUUUGCUUAUCCAAAAUCCAUCACACAAUUAUAUCAAACCUUGAUAGUACCAACAUUAACUUACAGUCUGGAACUUUGUAAAACCAAUGACGUAACUAUGCAAAACCUAGACAGAAUCGGAAGGAGCGCAUUAUAAUCGUUUUUCAACCUUUUAAAACAUUGCAAAAUUUAUUUACACCCGUUAUUUAAAAUUCAAGACAUAUCAAAAUGUAUUCACCAAAAUAAACUGAACUUAUUUAUUCGUCUUUUGGAUAACAAAUCGGCAAAUGUUAUUAUUCAAUCUCAGCUAAAAAAUCUGACGAAAAAAUAAUCUUUUGUAGAUGAUGUCCAUCUGGUGUGCCAUAUUAGUGGACUAAGUUUUGAAAAAUUAAAGAAUGAAAAAAUAGAAUACGUUUUGCGGUGGCGGGGAAUAAAAUCCCAAAAGAUAUUGAGAAAAAAUUGAAUUACUCAUUAGAUUGGUGGAACAUUUUUGUGUGUACUUUUAUCUUGUAAAAAUACUUACUGUAGGUGGUUAAGAAAAUAAUAAUAUAAAAGAUAGAAGUUUAAAAUGUUCUUAAACAAAAUUUAGCAAGCGCUGUCGACUCCACUGAUCUCUAUAAUAACUAUAAUAAGUUAUUAUAGAGAUCAGCGUAAAAACAUGUAAUUUGGUUACCGAGGAUUGUGGGACGCCCUGGUAUAACAUUUACAAACAAACAAAUAAGUUGUUUUGAAUAUCCAAAUGCUGACAGUAACUGAUUGCUCUUGAUUUAUUUUAUCAUGUACAGCCGAAUAAAAGAAAAAGUUCUUGUUCUGACAAAUUAAAUGAUUUAAACACGAUCGAAGAGCGUGAACGUGAGCGUGACCCUGACAAAACUAUUUUUUAUAGCUCAUCCCUAAUAAAUAUUCGGAAGCAAG